rnacentral:tRNA from 1 species
GGGCCCGUAGCUCAAUGGCAGAGCGCACGGCUCAUAACCGUUUGGUUGAAGGUUCGAAUCCUUCCGGGCCCACCA